UCUUGCGCAAUGGGCGAAAGCCUGACGCAGCAAUUCCGCGUGGGGGACGAAGGCCCUCGGGUCGUAAACCCCUUUUGCGAGGGAAGAAGUUCUGACGGUACCUCGCGAAUAAGACACGGCUAACUACGUGCCCGCAGCCGCGGUAAUACGUAGGUGUCGAGCGUUGUCCGGAUUUAUUGGGCGUAAAGAGCCCGCAGGCGGCUUGCCAAGUUCGAGGUGAAAUCGCCCGGCUCAACCGGGAGGGUGCCUCGAAAACUGGCAGGCUUGAGGCAGGGAGAGGGAUGUGGAAUUCCCGGUGUAGUGGUGAAAUGCGUAGAUAUCGGGAGGAACACCAGUGGCGAAGGCGGCAUCCUGGCCCUGUCCUGACGCUCAGGGGCGAAAGCGUGGGUAGCAAACCG
rnacentral:rRNA from 1 species